UACGAAGGUGGCAAGCGUUACUCGGAAUGACUAGGCGUAAAGGGCAGGUAGGUGGUUUGGUAAGUCUGUUGUGAAAGCUCUCGGCUCAACUGGGAGAGGCCAACAGAUACUGCUAGGCUUGAGUAUAGGAGAGGUUACUGGAAUUCCUGGUGUAGCGGUGAAAUGCGCAGAGAUCAGGAGGAACACCAAUGGCGAAAGCAAGUAACUGGACUAUUACUGACACUCAGCUGCGAAAGCUAGGGGAGCAAACAGG
rnacentral:rRNA from 1 species